rnacentral:rRNA from 1 species
UACAGAGGUGGCAAGCGUUGUUCGGAAUUACUGGGCGUAAAGGGCGCGUAGGCGGUCUUCUAAGUCGGACGUGAAAGCCCCAGGCUUAACCUGGGAACUGCGUCCGAUACUGGGAGGCUUGGAUUCGGGAGAGGGAUGUGGAAUUCCAGGUGUAGCGGUGAAAUGCGCAGAUAUCAGGAAGAACACCCGUGGCGAAAGCGGCUCUCUGGAACGGUACUGACGCUGAGACGCGAAAGCGUGGGGAGCGAACAGG